rnacentral:rRNA from 1 species
UACAGAGGGUGCAAACGUUGCUCGGAAUCAUUGGGCGUAAAGCGCACGUAGGCGGCCUAGCAAGUAGGGAGUGAAAGCCCUCGGCUUAACCGAGGAAGUGCUUUCUAAACUACUAGGCUUGAAUACUGGAGAGGGUAGUGGAAUUCCCGGUGUAGUGGUGAAAUGCGUAGAUAUCGGGAGGAACACCAGUGGCGAAGGCGACUACCUGGCCUGUUCGUUGACGCUGAGGCGCGAAAGCUAGGGAGCAACGGGG